rnacentral:lncRNA from 1 species
CGCAGAACUGUGGAGUGGUUGGGUUGGAAAGGACCUUAAAGAUCAUAGGAGCGUGGAAUGGGUUGGGAGAGUCCUUAAAAGUUAUAGGAGCGUGAGCUGGGGUUGGGUUGGGAGGGUCCUUAAAGGUCGUAGGGCGAUAGGAUGGGUUCAGAAGGUCGUUAAAAAUUGCAGAACCACUGAAUGGUUGAGUUGGAAGGGUCCUUAAAGCUCACAGAAUCGUGGAAUGGGUUGGAAGGGUCCUUAAAGACCGCAGGAUGGGUUUGAAGGGUCCUUAAAGAUUGCAGAACGAUUGCGUGGGUCGAGUUGGGAGAGUCCUUAAAGAUCGUAGACCGAUAGGAUGGGUUGUAAAGGUCCUUGAAGAUCACAGAACCACGGAAUGGGUUGGAAGGGUCCUCGAAGAUCACAGAAGCACAGGAUGGGUUGAGUUGGAAGGGUCCUUGAAGAUCAUAGAACAAUAAAAAGAAUUGGGAAGGUCCUUAAAGGUCACAGAAGCACAGGAUAGGUUGAGUUGGACGGGUCCUUGAAGGUCUUAGAAGAGUAACAAUAAUUGGAAAGGUCCUUAAAGGUCACAGAAGCACAGGAUAGGUUGAGUUGGAAGGGUCCUUAAAAAUCGUAGACCGAGAGGAUGGGUUGUAAAGGUCCUUGAAGGCCGCAGAACCACUGAAUGGGUUGGAAGGGUCCUUGAAGAUCACAGAAGCACAGGAUAGGUUGAGUUGGAAGGGUCCUUGAAGGUCUUAGAACGAUAAAAAGAAUUGGAAAGGUCCUUGAAGGUCACAGAACAAUAAAAAGAGUCGGGAAGGUCCUUAAAGGCCACAGAAGCACAGGAUAGGUCGAGUUGGAAGGGUCCUUGAAGGUCAUAGAACAAUAAAAGGAAUUGAAAAGGUCCUUAAAGGUCACAGAAGCACAGCAUAGGUUGAGUUUUAAAGGUCCUUAAAGGCCGCAGAACCACUGAAGGGG